rnacentral:rRNA from 1 species
CGAGGGGCAGCAUGUCUCGCAGCAAUGCGGGAUGAUGGCGACCGGCAAACGGGUGCGGAACACGUACACAACCUUCCUUUGAGCGGGGAAUAGCCCGGGGAAACCCGGAUUAAUACCUCAUAGUAUGGUGAAGAGGCAUCUCUUUACUAUUAAAGAUUUAUCACUUAAAGAUGGGUGUGCGGUUGAUUAGGUAGUUGGCGGGGUAACGGCCCACCAAGCCUACGAUCAGUAACUGGUGUGAGAGCACGACCAGUCACACGGGCACUGAGACACGGGCCCGACUCCUACGGGAGGCAGCAGUAAGGAAUAUUGGUCAAUGGACGAAAGUCUGAACCAGCCAUGCCGCGUGGAGGAUGAAGGUCCUCUGGAUUGUAAACUUCUUUUAUAUGGGACGAAAAAAGGCUUUUCUAAGUCGUCUGACGGUACCAUAUGAAUAAGCACCGGCUAACUCCGUGCCAGCAGCCGCGGUAAUACGGAGGGUGCAAGCGUUAUCCGGAUUCACUGGGUUUAAAGGGUGCGUAGGUGGGUUGGUAAGUCAGUGGUGAAAUCCCCGAGCUUAACUUGGGAACUGCCAUUGAUACUAUUAAUCUUGAAUACCGUGGAGGUCAGCGGAAUAUGUCAUGUAGCGGUGAAAUGCUUAGAUAUGACAUAGAACACCAAUUGCGAAGGCAGCUGGCUACGCGAAUAUUGACACUGAUGCACGAAAGCGUGGGG